GUGGGUCUGCCCGUGCAGCGACUACUAAGCGUGACGUCCUCUUCAAUUCUAGGCACAAGCGCAACCUAGCCUUGGCCGUAGAUUCGGUUUCUUGUAUUGCAUACCUACUAGAAGGAAUUCGAUGGUUGAUCAUUAAUCGAUCGCCUAAUGCCCCCAUAUCUGGCGGGUUGCGGGUGGUCCGUGAAGCAAGGUUCGUGAUCCUCCGUCCGAGCAAGCGUUUCGUACCUUGCCCGUGGCGGAGGCCCACGUUUCUUCGCUCGUGCUGAGGGAUUCGGUAAAUGCUGUGGGCAUGGGGUCUACGACCCUUAUUUGUCGCACGAAUUCAUAACAUCCAAACGACGGUCGCCGGUGCGAUGGCCUCACGGCCACGCAUCUCGAUCUCCGUGAGGAAUGCUACCU
rnacentral:misc_RNA from 1 species